rnacentral:rRNA from 1 species
AUUGAACGCUGGCGGCAGGCCUAACACAUGCAAGUCGAACGAGUGGCGGACGGGUGAGUAAUGUCUGGGAAACUGCGUGAGGGAGGGGGAUAACUAGUGGAAGCGAUAGCUAAUACCGCAUACUAUCAGAUGUGCCCAGGUGGGAUUAGCUUGUUGGUGGGGUAACGGCUCACCAAGGCGACGAUCCCUAGCUGGUCUGAGAGGAUGACCAGCCACACUGGGACUGAGACACGGUCCAGACUCCUACGGGAGGCAGCAGUGGGGAAUAUUGCACAAUGGGCGCAAGCCUGAUGCAGCCAUGCCGCGUGUAUGAAGAAGGCCUUCGGGUUGUAAAGUACUUUCAGCGGGGAGGCGUUACCCGCAGAAGAAGCACCGGCUAACUCCGUGCCAGCAGCCGCGGUAAUUC